rnacentral:rRNA from 1 species
UGGAGCAUGUGGUUUAAUUCGAUGCAACGCGAAGAACCUUACUAGGCUUGACAUCCUGGAAUUUUGUGGAAACACAAAAGUGCCUUUCGGGAACCAGGAGACAGGUGCUGCAUGGCUGUCGUCAGCUCGUGUCGUGAGAUGUUGGGUUAAGUCCCGCAACGAGCGCAACCCUUAUCUUUAAUUGCCAGCAUUCAGUUGGGCACUUUAAAGAGACUGCCGGUGUUAAACCGGAGGAAGGUGGGAUGACGUCAAGUCCUCAUGGCCUUUAUGCUUAGGGCUACACACGUGCUACAAUGGGUGGUACAAAGAGAAGCCAACUCGCGAGAGCGCGCCAAUCUCAAAAAGCCAUCCUCAGUUCGGAUUGGAGUCUGCAACUCGACUCCAUGAAGUUGGAAUCGCUAGUAAUCGCGGAUCAGCAUGCCCGCGGUCGAAUACGUUCCCGGGCCUU